rnacentral:rRNA from 1 species
GACGAACGCUGGCGGCGUGCCUAAUACAUGCAAGUCGAGCGGACCGAUGGGAGCUUGCUCCUUUAGGUUAGCGGCGGACGGGUGAGUAACACGUGGGCAACCUGCCCUGCAGACUGGGAUGACUUCGGGAAACCGGAGCUAAUACCGGAUAGGAGCUCCUGCUGCAUGGUGGGGGUUGGAAAGUUUCGGCGGUUGGGGAUGGACUCGCGGCUUAUCAGCUUGUUGGUGGGGUAGUGGCUUACCAAGGCUUUGACGGGUAGCCGGCCUGAGAGGGUGACCGGCCACAUUGGGACUGAGAUACGGCCCAG